rnacentral:rRNA from 1 species
UACAGAGGGGGCGAGCGUUAUUCGGAAUUAUUGGGCGUAAAGGGCGCGUAGGCGGCUUUUCAAGUGACGGGUGAAAUCCCUCGGCUUAACCGGGGAACUGCAUCUGAUACUGGAUGGCUUGAGUUCGGGAGAGGGAUGUGGAAUUCCAGGUGUAGCGGUGAAAUGCGUAGAUAUCUGGAGGAACACCGGUGGCGAAGGCGGCAUCCUGGACCGACACUGACGCUGAUGAGCGAAAGCCAGGGGAGCAAACGGG